GGGGACAACAGCUAGAAAUGGCUGCUAAUACCGCAUAAGCCUACAGCCUCGCAUGAGGGAGUAGGAAAAGAAAUUCGGUGCAGGAUGAGUCCGCGUCUGAUUAGCUAGUUGGAGGGGUAAAAGCCCACCAAGGCAACGAUCAGUAGCCGGCCUGAGAGGGCGACCGGCCACAUUGGGACUGAGACACGGCCCAAACUCCUACGGGAGGCAGCAGUGGGGAAUAUUGCACAAUGGGGGAAACCCUGAUGCAGCGACGCCGCGUGAGCGAGGAAGUAUUUCGGUAUGUAAAGCUCUAUCAGCAGGGACGAAAAAAGACGGUACCUGACUAAGAAGCCCCGGCUAACUACGUGCCAGCAGCCGCGGUAAUACGUAGGGGGCAAGCGUUAUCCGGAUUUACUGGGUGUAAAGGGAGCGUAGACGGCAAGGCAAGCCAGAAGUGAAAGGGCAGGGCUCAACCCUGUACAUGCUUUUGGAACUGUGGUGCUAGAGUGCAGGAGAGGUAAGUGGAAUUCCUAGUGUAGCGGUGAAAUGCGUAGAUAUUAGGAGGAACACCAGUGGCGAAGGCGGCUUACUGGACUGUAACUGACGUUGAGGCUCGAAAGCGUGGGGAGCAAACAGGAUUAGAUACCCUGGUAGUCCACGCCGUAAACGAUGAA
rnacentral:rRNA from 1 species